UACGUAGGGGGCAAGCGUUGUCCGGAAUCAUUGGGCGUAAAGCGCGUGUAGGCGGUCCGGUAAGUCCGCUGUGAAAGUCGGGGGCUCAACCCUCGGAUGCCGGUGGAUACUGUCGGGCUUGAGUACGGAAGAGGCGAGUGGAAUUCCUGGUGUAGCGGUGAAAUGCGCAGAGUAUCAGGAGGAACACCAAUUGCGAAGGCAGCUCGCUGGGACGUUACUGACGCUGAGACGCGAAAGCGUGGGGAGCAAACAGG
rnacentral:rRNA from 1 species